CCUACGGGACGCAGCAGUGGGGAAUAUUGCACAAUGGGGGGAACCCUGAUGCAGCGACGCCGCGUGGGUGAAGAAGUACUUCGGUACGUAAAGCCCUAUCAGCAGGGAAGAAAAUGACGGUACCUGACUAAGAAGCCCCGGCUAACUACGUGCCAGCAGCCGCGGUAAUACGUAGGGGGCAAGCGUUAUCCGGAUUUACUGGGUGUAAAGGGAGCGCAGACGGCAGGGCAAGUCUGGAGUGAAAGCCCGGGGCUCAACCUGGGGACUGCACUGGAAACU
rnacentral:rRNA from 1 species